rnacentral:rRNA from 1 species
AGCGAACAGAUAGGAGCUUGCUCCUUUGACGUUGCGGCGGACGGGUGAGUAACACGUGGGUAACCUACCUAUAAGACUGGAAUAACUCCGGGAAACCGGGGCUAAUGCCGGAUAACAUAUAGAACCGCAUGGUUCUAUAGUGAAAGAUGGUUUUGCUAUCACUUAUAGAUGGACCCGCGCCGUAUUAGCUAGUUGGUAAGGUAAUGGCUUACCAAGGCGACGAUACGUAGCCGACCUGAGAGGGUGAUCGGCCACACUGGAACUGAGACACGGUCCAGACUCCUACGGGAGGCAGCAGUAGGGAAUCUUCCGCAAUGGGCGAAAGCCUGACGGAGCAACGCCGCGUGAGUGAUGAAGGGUUUCGGCUCGUAAAACUCUGUUAUUAGGGAAGAACAUAUGUGUAAGUAACUGUGCACAUCUUGACGGUACCUAAUCAGAAAGCCACGGCUAACUACGUGCCAGCAGCCGCGGUAAUACGUAGGUGGCAAGCGUUAUCCGGAAUUAUUGGGCGUAAAGCGCGCGUAGGCGGUUUCUUAAGUCUGAUGUGAAAGCCCACGGCUCAACCGUGGAGGGUCAUUGGAAACUGGGAAACUUGAGUGCAGAAGAGGAAAGUGGAAUUCCAUGUGUAGCGGUGAAAUGCGCAGAGAUAUGGAGGAACACCAGUGGCGAAGCGACUUUUCUGGUCUGUAACUGACGCUGAUGUGCGAAAGCGUGGGGAUCAAACAGGAUUAGAUACCCUGGUAGUCCACGCCGUAACGAUGAGUGCUAAGUGUUAGGGGUUUCCGCCCCUUAGUGCUGCAGCUAACGCAUUAAGCACUCCGCCUGGGGAGUACGACCGCAAGGUUGAAACUC